GACGAACGCGGCGGCGUGCCUAAUACAUGCAAGUAGAACGCUGAAGGAGGAGCUUGCUUCUCUGGAUGAGUUGCGAACGGGUGAGUAACGCCUAGGUAACCUGCCUGGUAGCGGGGGAUAACUAUUGGAAACGAUAGCUAAUACCGCAUAAUAGCAGUUAUUGCAUGAUAACUGUUUGAAAGGUGCAAUUGCAUCACUACCAGAUGGACCUGCGUUGUAUUAGCUAGUUGGUGGGGUAACGACUCACCAAGGCGACGAUACAUAGCCGACCUGAGAGGGUGAUCGGCCACACUGGGACUGAGACACGGCCCAGACUCCUACGGGAGGCAGCAGUAGGGAAUCUUCGGCAAUGGACGGAAGUCUGACCGAGCAACGCCGCGUGAGUGAAGAAGGUUUUCGGAUCGUAAAGCUCUGUUGUAAGAGAAGAACGAGUGUGAGAGUGGAAAGUUCACACUGUGACG
rnacentral:rRNA from 1 species